rnacentral:rRNA from 1 species
UACGUAGGGGGCAAGCGUUGUCCGGAUUUAUUGGGCGUAAAGAGCGUGUAGGCGGCCAGACAGGUCCGUUGUGAAAACUCGAGGCUCAACCUCGAGACGCCGAUGGAAACCGUCUGGCUAGAGUCCGGAAGAGGAGAGUGGAAUUCCUGGUGUAGCGGUGAAAUGCGCAGAUAUCAGGAAGAACACCCGUGGCUAAGGCGGCUCUCUAGUACGGUACUGACGCUGAGGCACGAAGGUCAGGGGAGCAAACGGG